UGGGGAAUAUUGCACAAUGGGCGAAAGCCUGAUGCAGCGACGCCGCGUGAGGGAUGACGGCCUUCGGGUUGUAAACCUCUUUCAGCAGGGAAGAAGCGAAAGUGACGGUACCUGCAGAAGAAGCGCCGGCUAACUACGUGCCAGCAGCCGCGGUAAUACGUAGGGCGCAAGCGUUGUCCGGAAUUACUGGGCGUAAAGAGCUCGUAGGCGGUUAGUCGCGUCUGCUGUGAAAACUCGAGGCUCAACCUCGGGCUUGCAGUGGGUACGGGCUGACUAGAGUGCGGUAGGGGUGACUGGAAUUCCUGGUGUAGCGGUGGAAUGCGCAGAUAUCAGGAGGAACACCGAUGGCGAAGGCAGGUCACUGGGCCGCAACUGACGCUGGGGAGCGAAAGCAUGGGGAGCGAACAGGAUUAGAUACCCUGGUAGUCCAUGCCGUAAACGUUGGGCACUAGGUGUGGGGGUCCAUUCCACGGAUUCCGUGCCGCAGCAAACGCAUUAAGUGCCCCGCCUGGGGAGUACGGCCGCAAGGCUAAAACUCAAAUGAAUUGACGGGGUCAUAGCUGUUUCCU
rnacentral:rRNA from 1 species